GAGUGUAAGCUGCUAUAUGAAGGGAUCCACAAGACGAAUAAUUAAGGGGGACCUCUGAUCAACAGCCAGCAAGGAACUGAAUCCCUCAGACCCACAACUCACAAGAAACUGAAGCUGAAGCAGAUUCUUCCUCAGUCAAGCUUCAGGUGCCCAGCUGUAUUGGUAGAGGAGACCAACCACACCCUCCACAGCACAGCACCUGGAGAGGAACUGCUGCCAUGACCAUAGAGGACACCCUCUGGAUACAAUGCCAGACUUGAUGUGGGACUGACCAACCUAUGGACCCCAGGCACCACCACCCAGACCUGCUCAGCACCUGAAACAUUCACAGCCGUGGAGAGAGAACUGUUCACUGCUACCAUCCACACUUCUGGGCCCCUUCAGCAGCAGGGUGACAAGGAAGAGGGAAAUCGACUUGGAAAAGAGGGGACCUCUGACCCAAGAGUUCGGUCAAUGCAUAUGUUGGCAGCCAGCUGCACAUCGCACCAAAUAUGAACUUCAAAUAGAAGAAAGCCUCAUUUGGAAGAAAGCUCAUGCACAGACUGUAAAUAUUUCAGAGCAGAUUGUGUCUCUGUAGAUUAACAAACAGUUUAUUUUUCCAGUAUGACAAUGUUGUGACAAGAUCAGAAGCCAGCUUUCUCACCAUUAAAUCAAAGUCUUAUCAAUAUAUGGAGACUUUUAUGGAAAGAAACCUGAAAUUACGCAGAAAUGCCUUCCGCAAGAAGUGGCUAGUAUGGUGGCUUCAAGAACAGUGACAUUUUUCAGUAUGUCCGUUGUUCUAAGACGUUAGUACAUCACAAUUACCUAGAAAACUUGUUAAAACACAGAAGUCUGGGCUCCCCCUCUUGGCCAACCCCCAUUCCCAGAGGGUUUCUGUUUCCAUGGGUCUGAAAUACCACCUAACGAUUGGCAUUUCUAACAAAUUUCUGCAUGAAGCUGCUGGUCUGAGGACCACACUUUGACAACCAGUGCACUACAUUAAGCUAUCUGGAGAAGCUGCAAAUGCAGAUGAAGAAGCUACAAAUUUUUCUAUGUCAACAAAAAUUGACUGAUGAGGGUGACCUUCGGAUCAUGUUUUUAAUGUUUAUGAAACUGGUCUCAUUAUCAGAAGUAAAUGGCUUCAAGAACUUCAGCCUGAGGAAGAAAACAUGAGUCCUAGGCAUAUCAGGCUACAACCAUGUUUGGAAUGAAUCUAGGUGCAAAUCUCAGUGGAGAAUUAACUGUACCAAUAUUUUAAUUAGGAUUACUAAUGUUUUGUUACUUCCUGAUUACAAGGUUCUAUAGGUUUUGAAUGAUCCACUGUAAUCCUGUUUCUUUUCCAUAAGUCGUGUAGUUUUUAGCAUGUAAUUAUGCAGACCAUAAGGUUUUUCAGGAAUACUAAUAUGGCAUUAGAUUAGAAAUGCUAUAUUAAAAAUUCUUAUUAAAUCUACUGAUAGUAACCAAAAAAUAGAAGAUUCAGAAGAACUAGCAAAUGUGGAGAGAACGGAUGAAAUGGAAGCAGUGUGAACCUAGUGAAUACUUGCCAAGCUGUAUCUCCCCUGAAUUUGUCAAAACAUCAUCUCCAGCAUCUGAGCUAGACCAACCCUCAGUGCUAACAUUGAUGUGAUUAAAGAGUCUGAACUGGGAGCAGAAUUCCUUCAGGUAUUUUGUUAAUAAAAUAAAGCUCUCCAUCUCUCCUUAAAUUAAACAA
rnacentral:lncRNA from 1 species